UACUGUUCCCUGCUUUCAUAGCGCAGCCAUGCCCAAACCCUGUGGCUCCUCAACAUGCACGCAUUCAGCCCCAGCAGACUCAGUAUAUCAUGACAGACACUUUCAAUGUCACGUGUGAUAUGGGCUAUGAUUUAAUUCUGGAGGAAGAAGCUUUGCCCUUUUAUCAAGUCACAUGCCUGAAGGGUGGAUUUUGGAAUGGACCAAUACCUCGCUGCAUCAUUGUUGAUUGUGAAGAUCCUGUAGAAGUGUAUAAUGCAAGUGUGAAAUUCACCACAACCACAUAUAAAUCUGUG